GACGAACGCUGGCGGCAUGCCUAAUACAUGCAAGUCGAGCGAACAGAUGAAGUGCUUGCACUUCUGACGUUAGCGGCGAACGGGUGAGUAACACGUAGGGAAUCUACCUAUAAGCGGGGGAUAACAUUCGGAAACGGGUGCUAAUACCGCAUAAUAUCUUCUUCCGCAUGGAAGAGGAUCGAAAGACGGCUCUGCUGUCACUGAUAGAGGGCGUUGCGGUGCAUUAGUUAGUUGGUGGGGUAACGGCCUACCAAGACGAUGAUGCAUAGCCGGCCUGAGAGGGUGAUCGGCCACAUUGGGACUGAGACACGGCCCAAACUCCUACGGGAGGCAGCAGUAGGGAAUCUUCCGCAAUGGGCGAAAGCCUGACGGAGCAAUGCCGCGUGAGUGAAGAAGGCCUUCGGGUCGUAAAACUCUGUUAUAAGAGAAGAACAAAUUGUAGAGUAACUGCUACAGUCUUGACGGUAUCUUAUCAGAAAGCCACGGCUAACUACGUGCCAGCCGCCGCGGUAA
rnacentral:rRNA from 1 species